GAAGACAACAUCUUAACUCUCCCACAACACCACCAUCAUCACAAACAACCCCAUUUUGUGAAUUUUCUUCAGCUAUUCUUUAUCUCCCAGAACUACUUUCCUUCCUGUUUUUCUUUCUCUCAAGCGCAUACAGCUUUUCUCAAGGAUACUUUUCACAUUAAGGAUUUCCCGGUUCAUUAUGUGGCCAAGAGUGAUUAUUACUUUUACAACUUUCUAUCAUAUAAACUUAUCAUUUAUCAUUUACUAGAUUGAUGGUAAAUGAUAUACUUUAUUAUUUGGUUAAGCAAUUAUGAUUUCAUUGAUUAAACAAAGCUAAAAAGAUGAGUCCCGAAAACAACAGAGACGCUGAGUUUGGUUAUGGAGCGGGUGAAGUUGAUUCCUCAAUGCUUUGCAUCCUGGCUUAAUAUAUGACACUAAGCAGGGCCGGUCCUGACUUUCUAGAGGCCCCGGGCAAAUAUAAAAAGUGGACCCUUAAAAAAAAUGAAAAAUUAACCAAAAGAUUUAGUUAUAAAUAAUACUAAUAUUAUUAAUUUUUUUAAUAUAUUAUUAUAAAAUAAAUUUAAUAAUGUAUCUUUUUAUUAAAAAAACGUCGUUUGAAUUAAGUUUGUUUACCAUUUUAAUCUUUUCUCGAUAUUAUAAGAGUGGAAGUUGUAAGUAGUAAUUACAUAAAAAAUAAUUUUUUUUUAGUUGUUUUGUAACACUUUGAUAAACCGUCAAAACGUAUUGCAAUUGUUGCAGUAUGAAAAGAGUUGAAUUAAUUAAAAAUCUAUAAAAUCUUAUAAUAUUGCGUUAGGUUAGACUAACUUAAAUUAAGAUAUUUUAAACUUAUUAAUUUAAUAUAUUAUCCAUAUAUCUAUAAGAAUUAAUUAAAAAUAACACUACUAUCCAAAAAAUUUAAAUAUAAUUUAAAAUAAAAUUUAACAAAUAUAUAUUUUUAUAAACAAAAUCAAACCAUUAAUAAUUAUAUCAUAGUAUUUUUUUAUUAUUUAAUUAUAUAGUAAACUUUUGAAUAUUCAAUUAAAAAAGUAUCAAAAAUGUAUAUAAAAGAAAUAAAAUCAAAAAGUUUAAUACUAUAUAUAAUAAAAAGUAGUUUAAGACUAUAUAUGAUUCUUCAGUUCAAGCGGUGCUUUUCUCAGGUACGCCAUUCAAGUAAUUUUAUAUAUAAUAAAAAGUAGUUUAAGACUAUAUAUGAUUCUUCAGUUCAAGCGGUGCUUUUCUCAGGUACGCCAUUCAAGUAAUUUUAUUAUGCAAAUAAACAAUAAACAAUUAAAAUCAUAAAAUGCAGCAACAAGGCUCGAACCUGCGUCAUCAGCUUAGCUGCACAAUUCCUUAACCGCUGCGCCGUCAACAACACACAAUACAGGGUUUCAUAAUACAAUAUAUAUAAUCAUUUUACAGAACAAUUCCUAAAGUCUAUUCCAAAAAAAUUUGAGGCCCCUCUUUUUUUGAGGCCCUGGGCUGUGGGCCUGCUUGCCCAGGCUCAGGGCCGGCCCUGACACUAAGUAAGAGGAUUAUAUUAAACUUUUAUGCGGACAUGGGUUCACUACAACCGCUCUACAAUCAUUCACAGGAGAUAAUAGCAAUUGCUCGAAAAUAACUCCUACAUCAGCAACAAAUUUGAACUACUGAGCAGCUGCUUUAAAAUUUACACAUCCUAAACAACAUGUUUGUGUGAGGAAGAUUUCAUAGGACUGUCAUCAAUGUUGGAACAUCUGUCUCUACUUAUAGAGCAAUUGUGACAGCGCCUAAAAGAUUACACAUAUGUUGUCAUUAUUGAUGGAGUAUUGAAGAAAUCUAUUGAGUCAACUUCUCUACAUUAGGUUGAUGGAAAUUUUAAAGUGAGAAGUUCAAUAGUGCUUUUCAACGAACGAGUCGAGAAAGUCGCAACAUCUCCAAAUUUCUAUCAUCGAAAUAGUUCUUUUCAACGAACGAGUCGAGAAAGUCGUAACACCUCCAAAUUUUUAUCAUCAAAAUAGUUCUUUUCAGCAAACGAGUCGAGAAAGUCACAACACCUCCAAAUUUCUAUCAUUAUUAUUAUUGUUGUUGUUAUUUUUAGUUUUUUAUUUUUAUUUUUUCUAUAAUUAUAUUGCUAGAUAUUUAUAGAACAUUAAAGAAAUGUAAAAGUAAAUAUUUAUAUUAGUAUAAAAUAAAUGAUAUAUUUUCAAUAAAUUAAAAUCUCUCACGCAUGUAUGAAAGUGGGAAAAAAAAUGUUUUUUGUCAAAAUAAUUUUGCAAUGGUAUUCACAACAUGGAGGUCUUUAAAUUAAUAUGAAUCUAGUAAAAAGGAUAAAAAAAGACUGGAAUGCAAUGAUUAGAAGUAUUAAGUUUUAAUAAAAAAUUAUUACAGCUUAUAAGCUUUUUUAAAGCAAAAACAAGUGUAAAGACAUAACUAUGCUGAAGUGCAAAAAAUGGGUAACGACAGAAUCAUUUGGAUCCCAGAUAGAAUGCAAUAGAGGUAUUCGGAAGGCGUAAGGAAGGCAUGCGUAAUUUUGUAGAAAACAAAUAUUCCAUCUAAGAUCUAUAUUUUUUUGUUUGAAGUUCAUUUUGGGCUGGUUGCCAUC